rnacentral:rRNA from 1 species
GACGAACGCUGGCGGCGUGCUUAACACAUGCAAGUCGAACGGAAAGGCCCUGCUUUUGUGGGGUGCUCGAGUGGCGAACGGGUGAGUAACACGUGAGUAACCUGCCCUUGACUUUGGGAUAACUUCAGGAAACUGGGGCUAAUACCGGAUAGGAGCUCCUGCUGCAUGGUGGGGGUUGGAAAGUUUCGGCGGUUGGGGAUGGACUCGCGGCUUAUCAGCUUGUUGGUGGGGUAGUGGCUUACCAAGGCUUUGACGGGUAGCCGGCCUGAGAGGGUGACCGGCCACAUUGGGACUGAGAUACGGCCCAGACUCCUACGGGAGGCAGAAGUGGGGAAUAUUGCACAAUGGGCGGGAGCCUGAUGCAGCAACGCCGCGUGCGGGAUGACGGCCUUCGGGUUGUAAACCGCUUUCGCCUGUGACGAAGCGUGAGUGACGGUAAUGGGUAAAGAAGCACCGGCUAACUACGUG